AGUGAACGCUGGCGGUAGGCCUAACACAUGCAAGUCGAACGGCAGCACAGUAAGAGCUUGCUCUUACGGGUGGCGAGUGGCGGACGGGUGAGGAAUACAUCGGAAUCUACUUUUUCGUGGGGGAUAACGUAGGGAAACUUACGCUAAUACCGCAUACGACCUACGGGUGAAAGCAGGGGAUCUUCGGACCUUGCGCGAUUGAAUGAGCCGAUGUCGGAUUAGCUAGUUGGCGGGGUAAAGGCCCACCAAGGCGACGAUCCGUAGCUGGUCUGAGAGGAUGAUAAGCCACACUGGAACUGGGACACGGUCCAGACUCCUAAGGGAGGCAGCAGUGGGGAAUAUUGGACAAUGGGAGCAAGACUGAUCCAGCCAUACCGCGUGGGUGAAGAAGGCCUUCGGGUUGUAAAGCCCUUUUGUUGGGAAAGAAAAGCAGAAGGUUAAUACCCCGCUGUUCUGACGGUACACAAAGAAUAAGCACCGGCUAACUUCGUG
rnacentral:rRNA from 1 species